UGGGGAAUCUUGCACAAUGGGGGAAACCCUGAUGCAGCGACGCCGCGUGAGCGAUGAAGCCCUUCGGGGUGUAAAGCUCUUUCGACGGGAACGAUUAUGACGGUACCCGGAGAAGAAGCUGCGGCUAACUACGUGCCAGCAGCCGCGGUAAUACGUAGGCAGCAAGCGUUGUUCGGAAUUACUGGGCGUAAAGAGUGUGUAGGCGGUUCUGCAAGUUCGGUGUGAAAUCUCCCGGCUUAACUGGGAGGGUGCGCCGAAAACUGCGGGGCUUGAGUGCCGGAGAGGAAGGCGGAAUUCCUGGUGUAGCGGUGAAAUGCGUAGAUAUCAGGAGGAACACCGGUGGUGUAGACGGCCUUCUGGACGGCCACUGACGCUGAGACACGAAAGCGUGGGGAGCAAACAGGAUUAGAUACCCGGGUAGUCC
rnacentral:rRNA from 1 species